GACGAACGCUGGCGGCGUGCCUAAUACAUGCAAGUUGAGCGCUGAAGGUUGGUACUUGUACCAACUGGAUGAGCAGCGAACGGGUGAGUAACGCGUGGGGAAUCUGCCUUUGAGCGGGGGACAACAUUUGGAAACGAAUGCUAAUACCGCAUAAAAACUUUAAACACAAGUUUUAAGUUUGAAAGAUGCAAUUGCAUCACUCAAAGAUGAUCCCGCGUUGUAUUAGCUAGUUGGUGAGGUAAAGGCUCACCAAGGCGAUGAUACAUAGCCGACCUGAAAGGGAGAUCGGCCACAUUGGGACUGGGACACGGCCCAAACUCCUACGGGAGGCAGAAGUAGGGAAUCUUCGGCAAUGGACGAAAGUCUGACCGAGCAACGCCGCGUGAGUGAAGAAGGUUUUCGGAUCGUAAAACUCUGUUGGUAGAGAAGAACGUUGGUGAGAGUGGAAAGCUCAUCAAGUGACGGUAACUACCCAGAAAGGGACGGCUAACUACGUG
rnacentral:rRNA from 1 species